rnacentral:rRNA from 1 species
AGAGUUUGAUCCUGGCUCAGAGCGAACGCUGGCGGCGUGCUUAACACAUGCAAGUCGAACGUGAAAGUAGCAAUAUGAGUAAAGUGGCGUACGGGUGAGUAACACGUGGGUAAUCUACCUUAGAGUCUGGAAUAACCUGCCGAAAGGCGGGCUAAUACUGGAUAGUUCAAGCGCAUUAUAAAGGUGCGAUUGGAAAAGGGAGCUCGUAAGAGCCUUCGCUUUAAGAUGAGCCCGCGUCUGAUUAGCUAGUUGGUGAGGUAAUGGCUCACCAAGGCGACGAUCAGUAGCUGGUCUGAGAGGAUGAUCAGCCACACUGGAACUGAAACACGGUCCAGACUCCUACGGGAGGCAGCAGUGGGGAAUCUUGCGCAAUGGACGAAAGUCUGACGCAGCCACGCCGCGUGAGUGAAGAAGGCCUUCGGGUUGUAAAGCUCUGUCGGAAGGGACAAAAACCUCCUUGGUUAAUAGCCUUGGAGCUUGAUGGUACCUUUAAAGGAAGCACCGGCUAACUUCGUGCCAGCAGCCGCGGUAAUACGAAGGGUGCAAGCGUUGCUCGGAAUUAUUGGGCGUAAAGGGUAGGUAGGUGGUUACGUAUGUCUGAGGUGAAAGCCCUGAGCUUAACUCAGGAAGUGCCUUGGAAACGGCGUAACUAGAGUGCUAGAGAGGUUCGUGGAAUUCCCAGUGUAGCGGUGAAAUGCGUAGAGAUUGGGAGGAACACCAGAGGCGAAGGCGGCGAACUGGAUAGCAACUGACACUGAACUACGAAAGCGUGGGUAGCAAACAGGAUUAGAUACCCUGGUAGUCCACGCUGUAAACGAUGGGUACUAGGCUUCGUGGGAGUUGACCCCUGCGGAGCCGGAGCUAACGCAAUAAGUACCCCGCCUGGGAAGUACGGUCGCAAGACUAAAACUCAAAGGAAUUGACGG